UACGUAGGGUGCAAGCGUUAAUCGGAAUUACUGGGCGUAAAGCGUGCGCAGGCGGCUUUGCAAGACAGAUGUGAAAUCCCCGGGCUCAACCUGGAAACUGCAUUUGUGACUGCAAGGCUGGAGUACGGCAGAGGGGGAUGGAAUUCCGCGUGUAGCAGUGAAAUGCGUAGAUAUGCGGAGGAACACCGAUGGCGAAGGCAAUCCCCUGGGCCUGUACUGACGCUCAUGCACGAAAGCGUGGGGAGCAAACAGG
rnacentral:rRNA from 1 species